CUUCUUCUUCUUCUUCUUCUUCUUCUUCUUCUUCUUCUUCUUCUUCUUCUUCUUCUUCAGGAUCUAUCCGAUAAUCGAUAAGCUCGCGGUUAGGACGUAACGCGAUCUAGAAAGCUGCGCGAAACUGGUGUAAUUAACGAACACGCGAAUAUCAUCUACCAGCCACGAUGGAAAUCGCGUGCUAUGCAGAACCUAUUGUCGGCGGUAGACACCGUCUACCGAAUCUUUCGAAGGUUCUCGGACGAUCGUGCAAGACUUCGGCGGUCUAGAGGGACCAGCCUCUACCUCCGAAUGGCGAAGUCGUCGAGAAGCGGCGCCCGUCCGGGUGUCGGAGCGCAGCGGAUUAUCGGAAAAACGGUCUCGCGACCGUGAAUCGACGGGCAACCUUCGUGCGGCGCGUUUAGGCGCCCUAGACUCGCCGCGUGUCGCACCGCGAACCAAAUAACGGUACGGAUGCUGGACGAGCACGUUAACACCGGUAACGGUAUCCGUUCGUCGUAUACUCGUUUCGGCGCGAAGAACUUUGUGGGCCCAAAACUACGGCUAACUGUGUCUGAUAUUUCACGAACAGCCGUUACGUCCCGACGCGGCGACUAUCAACGGUGACACGGGAGCUGGCCGGUUCGUAUCCUUCGUCGGACAGCCGUGGACACGAAUAACAAAAUCCCCGACGAUUUAUCUUCUCUCUGUUCCCGUCCCUUCGGUUCUUUGCUUCUCUUUCGUUUCUUCUGGGGAAAAAGAAAAAGAUCGACGGACGAACGCGAGACGAAUCGCUAACGAAGCCGAGACCGCGAAGAACGACCAGAUACGCGCGGAAACGACCAAAAAAAUCGCGACGUUUCGUCUGCUUUUUUUCCCUUUCUUUCUUUGUUUUCUUUUCUAUGCUAUUUCAAUCGAACGAUCUACACCGACCGUCGCAGGGAACAACGGAAAACGGCCGAGCGGUUAAGGGUGGCAGUUUUACCAGCGAGUCGACCCCGCCGACGUUGGCGAAUUAAACGAGGCGGCGAUUAUUUUCGAAGACGAAAUUCCGCGACAGCGUUUCCAGCGGACGUCGCGCAAUCGAGCCGUCGGUCGACCCGACAAAUGAAAAAUGUUACAGUUUCACUGACCUUAUCCGGGUGUUGCGUGCAACGAAUAUAUGCCCGCGCGACGCUCUCGAGUGUCGAUAAAACUGCCGAUCGAGCGAAUACCGUUCAACGGGCCCGUCCAUGUAACGGAGGGAAAAGCCAAAUCGUCGGAAUCGUCGAUUAAACGGACGGGGAACGAGCGACGCGAACGACACCGUACACCAGAUACCUUGGAAACUUUCUCCUCGCGCAAAUUUACCGAUCCUCCUCUUAUGCCACCUUGCCCGAGUCUUUUGCAAGCGAUACACCUCAGAAUUGUCACUCGUACCGUCGUUGCUCUCGCUUUUCCUUUCUCCUCCUUCUACUCUCCUUACCGUGCUGCCCCUUCUCUUUACCCUUUGACUCUCCUUCCCCUUCCUGGUCGGCUUGAUCGCGUUCGACCCCCCAGUUGUGAUACCUCCCUUCCGCACACGGUUCCUCUUCUUCUUCUUCUUCUUCUUCUCCUCCUCCUCUUUUACACCUUCUUGUCCCUUUAUCGCUCCUUGCUCGCACCUCCUUCGCGCGUCCCUGCGCUGUCGGCCUUCGCUCGUUUCCACCCCCGAGCACCUGCCAGCAUUUCUCCCCAAAGUCUCGAAUCAACUUCGGAGUACGAUGGACGUUCUACCGUGUCCUCUCGAGCCGAUCGGGAGGCUGGUACCGGAUACGAGCACCGGAGUCGUACAUGCGAUACAUGCAACGCGGAUGGGCGGCGAAGGAGAGAAAAAAAAAACACCGAUCGUCCAUGGUCGAGAAUAUAGGAAAUAAAUACAAGCUCGACGAAGAAGUAUUGCCUAAUACGUAUUUGUAUUUAUUGACUCGGGGUAUGUACUUGAAAUUCCUUCAAGCCGAUCGCGGUUAACGUUAACGUUAAACGUUAUGUCGCAAAGUGCAAACGAGGAUCCGACCGGUUGCUCGGUUGUAUUGUUUUAGUUGCUGCGUCGAACAGUAUGCGCUGCCGGAGAGCGGGCCACGCCUGGAAACAGAGACUUUUCGGUAUACAAUAAUAUAAACUCUCGGUAUCGAACCGUGGGUUCAUUGUGUGCGUUUCGAUGCCCAUCUUUGUCGGUGUUUACGAGCUGAGCGGUAUACAUCGUCGUUCGAAUGUCCGGCGAUAUCUCGCGUGUGGGUCAAUAGAACCCGGCAGCGGCUUCUUUCGGAUGUAAGUCGGAAAACCGGCGGUUUUUAAUCUGUAUUUAUUCGUUCGAUCACAGCGCGUUAUUCGUUCGCUUUAUCCGCUGAUUGUAUCAAAUAUAUUGAUAACGAUAAAAAGAAUACUAAGGCACUUCUACCGUCGAAAAUGGCUUCGUCCGCUGAUUAACACGUCUAAUCAGUAAUAUAUUCUUGAAAUAUAUGGCACCGGCCGCGACAAGGCAGAUCGGCCUUGGAAGGCACGGCGGACAACGCUCGUUCGGAUUUCUUAUCGCGAAGAAUUGGCCGGCUUAGAAUGCGCAUGUUUCGUUGCGUUAAUCUCGAUUGUAUGGCCGGCGUGUGCACGUGUGGCCGGUGCGAGUACAGGAUAGAAGAUGGAACCACGAGUGAAACGCAAAGGCAAUACCUAUCAACUGGUUUUGCAACGAACGGAAUGAAAAAACUCGUCCGACGCAAAAGUUCACGAAAACGGUAAAGAAAACGAGAAAAACAGAAGACGUCGCAAAAGGUCGGUCCAUCUUCUUCCAUUUUUCGUGGUGUCGCGCCGCGCAUUCUAUAAACGUACUAUUCUGGAUAUUCCAGCGAUGCGCGCACGUAAAAAAUAUGGGGAGAACCGACGACGCGGUGAAAACCGUAUUUGAUUUUCUUAAAAAAAACGAUACUACGUCUAUCGUACGCGAGAACGCCUCGAGCAGAAAAAUAAGAACCGUCUUCAUCUGGCAUUCAAGUCUCCGGCGAUCCGCGCCGGGAGAUCUCGAGCGGGAGCCGACAAAUCUACAUGAUGAACGAACAAUCACCGAGACAGCAUCUGUCGAUGAGAAUUUUCCAUCUGAUGGAACAUCGUGUUUUACAUAUUGAUAUUUCAUAUAAAUAAAUGGACUGGCCGACGUCA